AAGACACUAGUAAAACUGAGGAUUACAUUACCUUGUCAAGAUAAAGUUGUAGGUUUAAACCCUGCGUGUCUUA
rnacentral:tRNA from 1 species